AUCCAAGUGUGUUGCAGUUCCGCC
rnacentral:siRNA from 1 species